UAGUGAUCAUGCUCAAUCACGUGUUAGCUUGAUGGAAAACUACUUCUUAAGGCAACAAGUUAGUUCGCUAGCAUUUAUAUAUACCACACUCUAUAUCUAUCUUUGUUAGAUCCUUCUUUGUAACAUACAAACAAAUGCAUAUAUGAUCUUUUGUUAACUUUAGUAUGAUGGGGAUUCAACAAACUUUAUGUUGCAUGUUUAUGGUCAGCAAAAUUAAUUUCUUUAUUCAACAUAUAUUCAGGUCUACUACGUUUGGUGGAUAUAUAGUUAGUAGCAAUGGAUAACAGAAAAACACAAUGGCUUCCCAGGUUUUUAAAAUCAAAGAACAUUUUUUUGAUCUGCAAGUUUUUGGGGUGCUAUUUUACUAUUUUAUUACUUUUUUCUGUUGGUAUACUAGGAAAUCGAUUGUUUAAGGACAUGAAACAUAUGAUUUUGGUGUUCAAAUACUAGGAAUCGAUUUCCCAGCCACGUUAUAUAAGCAACUGCUUCUUCUUCCAUUCGUUCACGCGACUCCUUCUCCAUAGGGUUCUAUUUUCGCGAUUUUGAAGCUUCUUUACCAUCUAGAUCACCCGAUUCUCCACCGAUUUGAGUGAACUAAAGCUCAAUUUCAUAAUAUUUUGAGUGUUCUAAACACUUUCCCCUACUCAGAUUCUUCAAUUUCUCACCCAUUUGAAAGAUCCCAAAUCCCUAAAAUCAUGUCUUCCUCUCGUCCUUCAAACUUGACUGUCAAGCAUGGAAAAGGAAAGACCAAGGAGCCAAGGAAUCCUCUAGAUAUAUCUUGUUUGCUUGAUGGUGAGGAUCUAAGGGUCGUCUUCAUGAAGUUCUUUACUCAGAGGGUAUUUUGAUCUAAAGUUUCAAAGAGGAUCAUGAAGUGCAAAAUAAAGGGAGAGUUGCUCUUGUUUGGACUGAAAUUUCAAAGAGUGUUUUGUCAUCAUCAAAAAGGGGAGAUUGUGAAGAAGAGGUCGUGCUCCUACAACCUUGGGCAUGUUUUGACGAUCACAACAACACUACAAAGAAGAAAAAGGAUUGAAUACCUCUAGUUAGAAGAAUGAAGAUUGUAAUAGCUAGAUUUAUUGCCCUUGAUAAAAAGGGUUUCCUGUGUCUUUUUCUUGAAAAAUUGUAAAGUCGUCUUCAACUUUCUACAUCUUCUUUUAUAUGUAUCAUUUGUUGUGGAACUGAUGAUGAAAAUAUUUUUUUUACAACAA